AUGAACGCUAGCUACAGGCUUAACACAUGCAAGUCGAGGGGCAGCAUGGUCUUAGCUUGCUAAGGCUGAUGGCGACCGGCGCACGGGUGAGUAACACGUAUCCAACCUGCCGUCUACUCUUGGCCAGCCUUCUGAAAGGAAGAUUAAUCCAGGAUGGCAUCAUGAGUUCACAUGUCCGCAUGAUUAAAGGUAUUUUCCGGUAGACGAUGGGGAUGCGUUCCAUUAGAUAGUAGGCGGGGUAACGGCCCACCUAGUCAACGAUGGAUAGGGGUUCUGAGAGGAAGGUCCCCCACAUUGGAACUGAGACACGGUCCAAACUCCUACGGGAGGCAGCAGUGAGGAAUAUUGGUCAAUGGGCGAUGGCCUGAACCAGCCAAGUAGCGUGAAGGAUGACUGCCCUAUGGGUUGUAAACUUCUUUUAUAAAGGAAUAAAGUCGGGUAUGCAUACCCGUUUGCAUGUACUUUAUGAAUAAGGAUCGGCUAACUCCGUGCCAGCAGCCGCGGUAAUACGGAGGAUCCGAGCGUUAUCCGGAUUUAUUGGGUUUAAAGGGAGCGUAGAUGGAUGUUUAAGUCAGUUGUGAAAGUUUGCGGCUCAACCGUAAAAUUGCAGUUGAUACUGGAUGUCUUGAGUGCAGUUGAGGCAGGCGGAAUUCGUGGUGUAGCGGUGAAAUGCUUAGAUAUCACGAAGAACUCCGAUUGCGAAGGCAGCCUGCUAAGCUGCAACUGACAUUGAGGCUCGAAAGUGUGGGUAUCAAACAGGAUUAGAUACCCUGGUAGUCCACACGGUAAACGAUGAAUGCUCGCUAUGGGCGAUAUAUGGUCCGUGGCCAAGCGAAAGCGUUAAGCAUUCCACCUGGGGAGUACGCCGGCAACGGUGAAACUCAAAGGAAUUGACGGGGGCCCGCACAAGCAGUGGAGUAUGUGGUUUAAUUCGAAGCAACGCGAAGAACCUUACCAGGUCUUGACAUCCUCUGACAAUCCUAGGGAUAGGACGUCCCCUUCGGGGGCAGAGUGACAGGUGGUGCAUGGUUGUCGUCAGCUCGUGCCGUGAGGUGUCGGCUUAAGUGCCAUAACGAGCGCAACCCUUGUUGUCAGUUACUAACAGGUGAUGCUGAGGACUCUGACAAGACUGCCAUCGUAAGAUGUGAGGAAGGUGGGGAUGACGUCAAAUCAUCAUGCCCUUUAUGUCUUGGGCUACACACGUACUACAAUGGCGUCUACAAAGAGCGGCAAGCCUGUGAAGGCAAGCGAAUCUCAUAAAGGGCGUCUCAGUUCGGAUUGAAGUCUGCAACCCGACUUCAUGAAGCUGGAAUCGCUAGUAAUCGCGAAUCAGCAUGUCGCGGUGAAUACGUUCCCGGGCCUUGUACACACCGCCCGUCACACCACGAGAGUUUGUAACACCCGAAGUCGGUGAGGUAACCUUUUAGGGGCCAGCCGCCUAAGGUGGGAUGGAUGAUUGGGGUG
rnacentral:rRNA from 1 species